GAUGAACGCUGGCGGCGUGCCUAACACAUGCAAGUCGAGCGAUUCUCUUCGGAGAAGAGCGGCGGACGGGUGAGUAACGCGUGGGUAACCUGCCCUGUACACACGGAUAACAUACCCGAAAGGUAUGCUAAUACGAGAUAAUAUACUUUUAUCGCAUGGUAGAAGUAUCAAAGCUCCGGCGGUACAGGAUGGACCCGCGUCUGAUUAGCUAGUUGGUAAGGUAACGGCUUACCAAGGCGACGAUCAGUAGCCGACCUGAGAGGGUGAUCGGCCACAUUGGAACUGAGACACGGUCCAAACUCCUACGGGAGGCAGCAGUGGGGAAUAUUGCACAAUGGGCGAAAGCCUGAUGCAGCAACGCCGCGUGAGCGAUGAAGGCCUUCGGUCGUAAAGCUACUGUCCUCAAGAGAUAUGAGGUACUUGAGGUAGGAAGCCCCGGCUAACGUACGUGCCGAGCAGCCGCGGUAA
rnacentral:rRNA from 1 species